GGGUUGUGAGGUUAAGCGACUAAGCGUACACGGUGGAUGCCACGGCAGUCAGAGGCGAUGAAGGACGUGCUAAUCUGCGAAAAGCGUCGGUAAGGUGAUAUGAACCGUUACAGCCGGCGAUGUCCGAAUGGGGAAACCCAGUGCAAUUCGUUGCACUAUCGUUAACUGAAUACAUAGGUUAACGAGGCGAACCGGGGAACUGAAACAUCUAAGUACCCCGAGGAAAAGAAAUCAACCGAGAUUCCCCAGUAGCGGCGAGCGAACGGGGAGCAGCCCAGAGUCUGAAUCAGCUUGUGUGUUAGUGGAACGGUCUGGAAAGUCCGACGGUACAGGGUGAUAGUCCCGUACACCAAAAUGCACAGGUUGUGAACUCGAAGAGUAGGGCGGGACACGUGGUAUCCUGUCUGAAUAUGGGGGGACCAUCCUCCAAGGCUAAAUACUCCUGACUGACCGAUAGUGAACCAGUACCGUGAGGGAAAGGCGAAAAGAACCCCGGCGAGGGGAGUGAAAAAGAACCUGAAACCGUGUACGUACAAGCAGUGGGAGCACCUUCGGGUGUGACUGCGUACCUUUUGUAUAAUGGGUCAGCGACUUAUAUUCUGUAGCAAGGUUAACCGUAUAGGGAGCCGCAGGGAAACCGAGUCUUAACUGGGCGUUAAGUUGCAGGGUAUAGACCCGAAACCCGGUGAUCUAGCCAUGGGCAGGUUGAAGGUUGGGUAACACUAACUGGAGGACCGAACCGACUAAUGUUGAAAAAUUAGCGGAUGACUUGUGGCUGGGGUGAAAGGCCAAUCAAACCGGGAGAUAGCUGGUUCUCCCCGAAAGCUAUUUAGGUAGCGCCUCGUGAACUCAUCUUCGGGGUAGAGCACUGUUUCGGCUAGGGGGUCAUCCCGACUUACCAACCCGAUGCAAACUACGAAUACCGAAGAAUGUUAUCACGGGAGACACACGGCGGGUGCUAACGUCCGUCGUGAAGAGGAAACAACCCAGACCGCCAGCUAAGGUCCCAAAGUCAUGGUUAAGUGGGAAACGAUGUGGGAAGGCACAGACAGCCAGGAUGUUGGCUUAGAAGCAGCCAUCAUUUAAAGAAAGCGUAAUAGCUCACUGGUCGAGUCGGCCUGCGCGGAAGAUGUAACGGGGCUAAACCAUGCACCGAAGCUGCGGCAGCGACACUAUGUGUUGUUGGGUAGGGGAGCGUUCUGUAAGCCUGCGAAGGUGACCUGUGAGGGUUGCUGGAGGUAUCAGAAGUGCGAAUGCUGACAUAAGUAACGAUAAAGCGGGUGAAAAGCCCGCUCGCCGGAAGACCAAGGGUUCCUGUCCAACGUUAAUCGGGGCAGGGUGAGUCGACCCUAAGGCGAGGCCGAAAGGCGUAGUCGAUGGGAAACAGGUUAAUAUUCCUGUACUUGGUGUUACUGCGAAGGGGGGACGGAGAAGGCUAUGUUAGCCGGGCGACGGUUGUCCCGGUUUAAGCAUGUAGGCUGGUUAUCCAGGCAAAUCCGGAUAAUCAAGGCUGAGGUGUGAUGACGAGGCACUACGGUGCUGAAGUAACAAAUGCCCUGCUUCCAGGAAAAGCCUCUAAGCAUCAGGUAACAUCAAAUCGUACCCCAAACCGACACAGGUGGUCAGGUAGAGAAUACCAAGGCGCUUGAGAGAACUCGGGUGAAGGAACUAGGCAAAAUGGUGCCGUAACUUCGGGAGAAGGCACGCUGGUGUGUAGGUGAAGUCCCUGCGGAUGGAGCUGAGACCAGUCGAAGAUACCAGCUGGCUGCAACUGUUUAUUAAAAACACAGCACUGUGCAAACACGAAAGUGGACGUAUACGGUGUGACGCCUGCCCGGUGCCGGAAGGUUAAUUGAUGGGGUUAUCCGUAAGGAGAAGCUCUUGAUCGAAGCCCGGUAAACGGCGGCCGUAACUAUAACGGUCCUAAGGUAGCGAAAUUCCUUGUCGGGUAAGUUCCGACCUGCACGAAUGGCGUAAUGAUGGCGGGCUGUCUCCACCCGAGACUCAGUGAAAUUGAACUCGCUGUGAAGAUGCAGUGUACCCGCGGCAAGACGGAAAGACCCCGUGAACCUUUACUAUAGCUUGACACUGAACAUUGAGCCUUGAUGUGUAGGAUAGGUGGGAGGCUUUGAAGCGUGGACGCCAGUCUGCGUGGAGCCAACCUUGAAAUACCACCCUUUAAUGUUUGAUGUUCUAACGUUGGCCCCUUACCGGGGUUGCGGACAGUGUCUGGUGGGUAGUUUGACUGGGGCGGUCUCCUCCCAAAGCGUAACGGAGGAGCACGAAGGUUAGCUAAUCCUGGUCGGACAUCAGGAGGUUAGUGCAAUGGCAUAAGCUAGCUUGACUGCGAGCGUGACGGCGCGAGCAGGUGCGAAAGCAGGUCAUAGUGAUCCGGUGGUUCUGAAUGGAAGGGCCAUCGCUCAACGGAUAAAAGGUACUCCGGGGAUAACAGGCUGAUACCGCCCAAGAGUUCAUAUCGACGGCGGUGUUUGGCACCUCGAUGUCGGCUCAUCACAUCCUGGGGCUGAAGUAGGUCCCAAGGGUAUGGCUGUUCGCCAUUUAAAGUGGUACGCGAGCUGGGUUUAGAACGUCGUGAGACAGUUCGGUCCCUAUCUGCCGUGGGCGCUGGAGAAUUGAGGGGGGCUGCUCCUAGUACGAGAGGACCGGAGUGGACGCAUCACUGGUGUUCGGGUUGUCAUGCCAAUGGCACUGCCCGGUAGCUAAAUGCGGAAGAGAUAAGUGCUGAAAGCAUCUAAGCACGAAACUUGCCCCGAGAUGAGUUCUCCCUGAGACUUUAAGUCUCCUGAAGGAACGUUAAAGACGAUGACGUUGAUAGGCCGGGUGUGUAAGCGCAGCGAUGCGUUGAGCUAACCGGUACUAAUGAACCGUGAGGCUUAACCUUACAACGCCGAAG
rnacentral:rRNA from 1 species